rnacentral:rRNA from 1 species
GAUGAACGCUGGCGGCGUGCUUAACACAUGCAAGUCGAACGGAAAGGCUCCUGCUUGCAGGGGUACUCGAGUGGCGAACGGGUGAGUAACACGUGGGUGAUCUGCCCUGCACUUCGGGAUAAGCCUGGGAAACUGGGUCUAAUACCGGAUAGGACGAUGGUUUGGAUGCCAUUGUGGAAAGUUUUUUCGGUGUGGGAUGAGCUCGCGGCCUAUCAGCUUGUUGGUGGGGUAAUGGCCUACCAAGGCGUCGACGGGUAGCCGGCCUGAGAGGGUGUACGGCCACAGUGGGACUGAGAUACGGCCCAGACUCCUACGGGAGGCAGCAGUGGGGAAUAUUGCACAAUGGGCGCAAGCCUGAUGCAGCGACGCCGCGUGGGGGAUGACGGCCUUCGGGUUGUAAACUCCUUUCGCUAGGGACGAAGCGCAAGUGACGGUACCUGGAGAAGAAGCACCGGCUAACUACGUG